AACCCUAAAACACAACAAACACCCAACGAACUGCCUUUUUUGUUUAAUUCAGGCCUCCCUCUCUCCUCCCACUUCCAUCCAAGCUGCUAUCAAAGCCCUUCGGACACCAGGGCUUAGAGAGCCCGGGCAAAAACACGGUGGACAAGAACAGCCCAGAGCAGAAAGCUUCCCCAAAACAACCCCGAGGGGUUUUGCAGAGCAGGCAGCUCCGUGCCGGACCCGUCCUCGCUGCAGGCUGAUUUGAACCUGAGCUGGAAGGUUUCUUUCUAAUUUCUAAUUAGAGCUUUUUGCUAAUUACAGGGUGAGGUUUUCCAUCUCGCAAACACGACGGCUUCUGAUGCUCUCUCCCCCACGUCCCGCUGCAGGGGAAAUUUGACCGAGCCGAGGGCACCGAGGAGGCUGCAAGAGCUGCAGAGCUGAGGUUUGCAGGGGACGGUUCUCCCUACGAAGCAAAGGUUAAUCCGUCUCCGGGUGCAGAAGUUGCCCUGGUAAAUGAGUGGCCGGCUGGCUUCUCCUCCAGAUGCAAAUGGGACGCCUACAAAACACCCACGGAGAAGCCCUGGCAGCUCUUCCAUCGCACGCCUGAGAGAGAACACGGGUUUGAUUAUUGAAAUACAGACGGCAUCGACCCCUGUGCUCGCCCCAGCACCGCCAGCACCAAAUAAAUCUUCCAACAGCUUCGGCUCCAACCUCACGGCCCGCGAGGUCACCCAGUGUGAGGACAGGGAAAAAAAAAAAA